GCUGGGCACGGUGGCGAAUGCCUGUAGUCCCAGCUAUUUGGGAGGCUGAGGCUGGAGGAUCUCGAGUCCAGGACUUCUGGGUUGUAGUGCGCUAUGCCGAUCAGGUAUCUGCACUAAGUUUGGCAUCAAUAUGGUGACCUCCCAGGAGCAGGGGACCACCAGGUUGCCUAAGGAGGGUUGAACCAGCCCAGGUCGGAAACAGAGCAGGUCAAAACUCCCAUGCUGAUCAGUAGUGGGAUCGCACCUGUGAAUUCACUGCACUCCAGCCUGGGCAACAUAGCGAGACCCUGUCUCA
rnacentral:SRP_RNA from 1 species